UACGUAGGGGGCUAGCGUUGUCCGGAUUUAUUGGGUGUAAAGCGCGUGUAGGCGGCCGGCUAGGUCUGGUGUGAAAACUCGAGGCUCAACCUCGAGAUGUCGCCGGAAACCAGUCGGCUAGAGUCCGGAAGAGGAGAGUGGAAUUCCUGGUGUAGCGGUGAAAUGCGCAGAUAUCAGGAAGAACACCUAUGGCGAAAGCAGCUCUCUGGGACGGUACUGACGCUGAGACGCGAAAGCGUGGGGAGCGAACAGG
rnacentral:rRNA from 1 species